GCGGGCUCUGGCGACACUUGCGUUGUCUCCAUGAAGGAAACUUGCGGUCUGUCAGGACACGUGUGCACCGUCGUUUUGGCUGCCUCCCCCUUCAGCACAGUCACUCUGGGAAGAUGUUUCCCAGGAAAGCCACGAAAGCCCGUUCCGAAGAUGGGCCAUAAGAGAUAAGGUGUAAGAGGAAAACCUGAGAGAUGGAAGAGAGAACUGUCCAAUUGGAAAGACAAGGCAUUUCACAGGAGAGAGGAAAGAAGAAGAAAUUCCAAAGGUAGUCUCAAGAGCCAGGGGGGGAGGAUCCUGUAUUUCUGCAGCUCGGUGUUCCUAGGAAGGACUCUGAUGAUGAAAAAGUUCCACUGACAAGUCCUUUGUCUACUUAGAAGACACUAGAAGAAGAUUAAUCUAACUAGUACUCAUUAACAGCUCCAUCUUUAGUUUGAAGGAUGAAAGUGGUUCUUGAUUGGGUAAGGAAGUGAGUAUGAAGAAAGAUCUUUGCAUACAGAAGAAAGGGUCUGAGGUUGGAACUGGGAUAACCUCUACAUCCAGAUGCUUGAUACUGAGCACCUCUUACACGUUCCUGUGUGCCCACCAAGCCUGCUGAGGACUACUGAAUGCUUCAAAAGAAAGACAGGACACUCCAAGCCUUGGGCAAAAUCUUUGCUGCAAAUUUAAUGGAUGGCUGUUAUUGCAACUACAUUGUGUCUCCAAUCUCAGCUGCUGGAGUAGGGGUGCAGACACCAGAGCCAAGAAAAAACAGACAAGGAGUGGAGUUUCCAGUUCAGGAGGUGAGACCAUUAAGAAGAGACUUUGCCAAGCCCAGUCAUAAUCUACAUCUCCUUUAAACUACACAGUAGAGAAGAGCCAGGCUGUCUACUGAACUCUGAUUUUGGGGGCUUCUAGUUAAAAUGGUCUUUUGCCUGGGGCUAGGGUCAUAAGAGUCAGAAUGGGAGGCAAAUUAGGCUUAAAAUCAUGUUUUCACCAGUGUUUAAUAAAAAAUGUGAAUGUUCUCUCAGAGGAUGUUUGUAACUCAUCAGUUAGCCUAGCUUGAAACUAUGAAUGAUAAAUAAUUUAGUAGAUAUGCUAAAACAAGGAUUAUAAACAUGCAAAGUGAUAUAAACAGUGCCUGAUAUAGGGAAACACUCAGAUAAGCUCUGCCUUUGAUUUUGGAAGCUGAGAUUUUUUUAAAUCCUCAUGCUUCUACAAAGGCAUAAACCCCUGCUAUGUUCAAUGUCUGCCAGUACCAUACUGUGGUUUCUUAAAUAAAGAAAUAACAACAAAGAAGGACUGCUGAAGCUUUGCUCAGUAAAAACCAAUUAUAAACCAAGAAAACAUAAAGAAAUUAAUCUAUAAGCUUUUUUUUUUCUUCUGAUCUAAGACUGCUGUAACUGAUGGCCUGAUUUAUACCCUCAAACUUAAAUACAUUUGUUUAUCCAAGCUACAAA